GGAAGCCUACGGGGGGCAGCAGUGGGGAAUAUUGCACAAUGGGGGAAACCCUGAUGCAGCGACGCCGCGUGAGUGAAGAAGUAUUUCGGCAUGUAAAGCUCUAUCAGCAGGGAAGAAGAAAGACGGUACCUGACUAAGAAGCCCCGGCUAACUACGUGCCAGCAGCCGCGGUAAUACGUAGGGGGCAAGCGUUAUCCGGAUUUACUGGGUGUAAAGGGAGCGUAUACGGCUGUGCAAGUCUGAAGUGAAAGCCCAUGG
rnacentral:rRNA from 1 species